rnacentral:rRNA from 1 species
GCGUGCGGGGUGCUAUACUGCAGUCGAGCGGACAGAUGGGAGCUUGCUCCCUGAUGUUAGCGGCGGACGGGUGAGUAACACGUGGGUAACCUGCCUGUAAGACUGGGAUAACUCCGGGAAACCGGGGCUAAUACCGGAUGGUUGUCUGAACCGCAUGGUUCAGACAUAAAAGGUGGCUUCGGCUACCACUUACAGAUGGACCCGCGGCGCAUUAGCUAGUUGGUGAGGUAACGGCUCACCAAGGCGACGAUGCGUAGCCGACCUGAGAGGGUGAUCGGCCACACUGGGACUGAGACACGGCCCAGACUCCUACGGGAGGCAGCAGUAGGGAAUCUUCCGCAAUGGACGAAAGUCUGACGGAGCAACGCCGCGUGAGUGAUGAAGGUUUUCGGAUCGUAAAGCUCUGUUGUUAGGGAAGAACAAGUGCCGUUCAAAUAGGGCGGCACCUUGACGGUACCUAACCAGAAAGCCACGGCUAACUACGUGCCAGCAGCCGCGGUAAUACGUAGGUGGCAAGCGUUGUCCGGAAUUAUUGGGCGUAAAGGGCUCGCAGGCGGUUUCUUAAGUCUGAUGUGAAAGCCCCCGGCUCAACCGGGGAGGGUCAUUGGAAACUGGGGAACUUGAGUGCAGAAGAGGAGAGUGGAAUUCCACGUGUAGCGGUGAAAUGCGUAGAGAUGUGGAGGAACACCAGUGGCGAAGGCGACUCUCUGGUCUGUAACUGACGCUGAGGAGCGAAAGCGUGGGGAGCGAACAGGAUUAGAUACCCUGGUAGUCCACGCCGUAAACGAUGAGUGCUAAGUGGUUAAGGGGGUUUCCGCCCCUUAGUGCUGCAGCUAACGCAUUAAGCACUCCGCCUGGGGGAGUACGGUCGCAAGACUGAAACUCAAAGGAAUUGACGGGGGCCCGCACAAGCGGGGGAACAUGGGGGUUAAUUCGAAGCAACGCGAA